AAAGUUUUUAAGAGAUCUCUUUAUAUUCUCGCGGCGGUGAAAUUGCUCGGGGGUCUCUCUCUCUCUCUCUCUGUGGAAGGAAGGCGGCUAGUUUCAACAAACACAUCCGAUCAUGCCUAAGCAAAUCCACGAGAUCAAGGACUUCCUUCUGACAGCAAGAAGGAAAGAUGCACGAUCUGUGAAGAUCAAGAGAAGCAAGGACAUUGUCAAGUUUAAGGUCAGAUGCUCCAGGUACCUCUACACCCUCUGCGUCUUCGACCAAGAGAAAGCUGACAAGCUUAAGCAGUCUCUUCCUCCAGGUUUGAGUGUGCAAGACCUUUGAAGAUGAAGCAAAGUUCUUCUGCAGUUCGUUGGUGACUAAAGCCUUGCAUCAUCGUAUAAUUUUCUUAGGAGUUUUUUUGUGGUUUCCAGUAUGAGUGUGUUUUUGGAUUUAUUCAAUUUGGAAAAACGAAAUGCGUUAUCUACUCUGGUUCAAUUUGGAUUUUUAUUUAUUAUCAUAUCGGACCUCUCUA